GUAAUGCAAGAUCCUCAACACUGUAAACAGGGGUGAACAUUAUUAGUCCAUUGGAAAAGAAACCAGCAAUCAGAUUCAGAGAGCAGGCUGAAGCGAGAAGGACUGACAUGUAGGUUACCCCGCCGCUACAAGUCACACUGCUGUUGGGUC